AUUGAACGCUGGCGGCAUGCCUAACACAUGCAAGUCGAACGAGUGGCGGACGGGUGAGUAAUGUCUGGGAAACUGCCUGAUGGAGGGGGAUAACUCCUGGAAACGGUAGCUAAUACCGCAUACCAUCAGAUGUGCCCAUAUGGGAUUAGCUUGUUGGUGGGGAAACGACUCACCAAGGCGACGAUCCCUAGCUGGUCUGAGAGGAGGACGAGCCACACUGGAACUAAGACAAGGUCCAGACACCUACGGAAGGCAGCAGGGGGGAAUAUUGCACAAUGGGCGCAAGACUGAUGCAGCCAUCGAGCGAGUAUGAAGAAGGGCUUCGGGUGGUAAAAUACUUUAAGCGGGGAGGCGUUACCCACAAAAGGAGCACCGGCUAACUCAGUGCCAGCAGCCACGGUAAUUC
rnacentral:rRNA from 1 species